rnacentral:rRNA from 1 species
AGAGUUUGAUCCUGGCUCAGAAUGAACGCUGGCGGCGUGCCUAACACAUGCAAGUCGGAUGUGCCCGCAAGGGUGCAUGGCAGACGGGUGAGUAACGCGUGGGGAACCUACCUCUUUGUGGGGAAUAACGCUCCGAAAGGAGUGGUAAUACCGCAUGAGACCACGGGCUGGGAUGCCUGUGGUGAAACCUGGGGACCGAAAGGCCCGGGGCAAGGAGAGGGUCCUGCGUCUGAUUAGCUAGUUGGUGGGGUAACGGCCUACCAAGGCAACGAUCAGUAGCCGGCCUGAGAGGGUGAUCGGCCACACUGGAACUGAGACACGGUCCAGACUCCUACGGGAGGCAGCAGUGGGGAAUUUUGCGCAAUGGGCGAAAGCCUGACGCAGCAACGCCGCGUGGGUGAUGAAGGUCUUCGGAUCGUAAAACCCUGUCGUCAGGGACGAAGGUCACUUGUUUAAGAGACGGGUGGCUUGACGGUACCUGGAGAGGAAGCCCCGGCUAACUCU